UACGAAGGUGGCAAGCGUUACUCGGAAUUACUAGGCGUAAAGGGCAGGUAGGUGGUUUGAUAAGUCUGUUGUGAAAGCUCCCGGCUUAACUGGGAGAGGUCAACGGAAACUAUCAGGCUUGAGUAUAGGAGAGGUUACUGGAAUUCCCGGUGUAGCGGUGAAAUGCGCAGAGAUCGGGAGGAACACCAAUGGCGAAAGCAGGUAACUGGACUAUUACUGACACUGAUCUGCGAAAGCUAGGGGAGCAAAC
rnacentral:rRNA from 1 species